rnacentral:rRNA from 1 species
AUUGAACGCUGGCGGCAGGCUUAACACAUGCAAGUCGAGCGGGGGAAGGUAGCUUGCUACCGGACCUAGCGGCGGACGGGUGAGUAAUGCUUAGGAAUCUGCCUAUUAGUGGGGGACAACAUCUCGAAAGGGAUGCUAAUACCGCAUACGUCCUACGGGAGAAAGCAGGGGAUCUUCGGCCCUUGCGCUAAUAGAUGAGCCUCAGUCGGACUAGCUAGUUGGUGGGGGCAAGGCCUACCAAGGCGACGAGCUGUAGCGGGUCUGAGAGGAUGAUCCGCCACACUGGGACUGAGACACGGCCCAGACUCCUACGGGAGGCAGCAGUGGGGAAUAUUGGACAAUGGGGGGAACCCUGAUCCAGCCAUGCCGCGUGUGUGAAGAAGGCCUUAUGGUUGUAAAGCACUUUAAGCGAGGAGUAGGCUACUUUAGUUAAUACCUAGAGAUAGUGGACGUUACUCGCAGAAUAAGCACCGGCUAACUCUGUGCCAGCCGCCGCAGUAA